rnacentral:rRNA from 1 species
UACGUAGGGGGCAAGCGUUGUCCGGAAUGACUGGGCGUAAAGGGAGCGUAGGCGGUCUGUUAAGUUGGAAGUGAAAUCCCGGGGCUCAACCCCGGAACUGCUUUCAAGACUGACGGACUUGAGUGUAAGAGGGGUAAGCGGAAUUCCUAGUGUAGCGGUGGAAUGCGUAGAUAUAUGGAAGAACACCAGUGGCGAAGGCGGCUCUCUGGUCUGCAACUGACGCUGAGGCUCGAAAGCAUGGGUAGCGAACAGG